rnacentral:misc_RNA from 1 species
AUGAAGAACGCAGCGAAAUGCGAUAAGUAAUGUGAAUUGCAGAAUUCAGUGAAUCAUCGAAUCUUUGAACGCACAUUGCGCCCGCUGGUAUUCCGGCGGGCAUGCCUGUUCGAGCGUCAUUUCAACCCUCAAGCUCUCCGGAGUUUGGUGUUGGGGCGCCUGGGGCUUUUCGACCUCAGGGCCCUCAAGUCCAUCGGCGGGACCGCCAGGACACUGAGCGCAGUAGUAUUAUUUCGCUCGGUAGGAUCUUCCACGGCGGGUCGAUCUGGCCGCUAAACCCCCCAAUUCUCACCAAAGGUUGACCUCGGAUCAGGUAGGAAUACCCGCUGAACUUAAGCAUAUCAAUAAGCGGAGGA